AUGCAGUUUUUGGUAGGAGAAUACACAAUUGACAUGGUUUGCAUCAUCCACAGGAUGAUCCAGUCUUGUACUUACACAAUAGAGGUCAAGGUUUGUGGCAGUGAAUCAAAAAUCAAUGGAGAUUCAACUUUUAGUUGGCAGAUUAUUGAGGGUACUAGGACAAGUAUGAAGGAUUUGCUGGCUUGUAUUGCUGGAACUUCUUCUUUUGCUUUAUGCUCAGAGGAUAAUAUAAUUCUUGAGUAUAUUGAUUCCAUUAGUGGCAAAAAUAUCUCUGUGUCAAAUGAUGAAGAAUGCAUGAAAAUGUUUGACUGUUUUGAGAAGAAUAGGGGUGGCCAUUUGAUCAUCAACUAUUCUGAGAGAAGUGAUAAUGUUCAUGUUCCAUGUACUCCUUCGAACCAGACACCAUCUAUAGCACUACCUAGUCAACCAAGUAAUGUCAUGGAUGAAGCUAGUGUAUGCCUAACAGAUACAUAUCUUAACAAUCCCCAUGAAGAAUAUGAACAUGUUGGUGUAGAUGAGGAGGACCAAUACUCAAUUAGCAGUGUUGGUUCCGAUAGUGAUGAUGAGGUCGGAGAAAAAGAUAUACCAAAUACUGAUUAUGUUGAGGAUAGCAGCGAUGAUGAGGAAUGGGUUGCGGAAGAUGCUAGACCGGAUGCUAUUCCAGAAAUUGCCUAUGACAAAGAAAACCCGCCAAUGCAUGUUGGCGCAAAGUACCCCAACAUUGAAGAGCUUAGGUUGGCAAUUGCUACAUACGCUGUGAAGAAAGAGUUCGAAUUUAAGGUUGAAAAAAGUGAACCUACUCGAUUCAGGGCAGGAAAAGGGAUUGACACUGCAAUCGAACAGGUAUUUGGGUAUGCUGAACAUAGAGAAUGCAUGCGACACUUGGUUGUGAACUUCAAGAAAAAAUUCCAUGGUAAAGUUUUUGAUGAUCAUUUGUGGCCAGCUGCUUAUUCAUGGACUCCUCGAGGGUUUGACUAUCACAUGGCAGCCAUAGAGGAGAAAAAGGCUACUGCAAUAGCAUACUUAAACAAGUACCACGCCAGGCUAUGGUCAAGGAGCAAAUAUUCAACCUCCUCAAAAGUGGAUUAUGUUACAAAUAAUUUGGCUGAGUGUUUCAACAACUGGAUCCGCAAGCACAAAGGUUUAAUGUUGUUUCAGCUCAUGGACAAGAUAAGGAGAAAGAUUACGGUUAAGUUUGAGAAGAGGAGAAGGGUAGCUAGAAAAUUUCAAGGUCGGCGUAUACUUCCAAGUGUCAUGAAGGAGUUGAAUGACAUAAGCAGGGGGCUGGACAUUGAAUAUGAGAGAAUAGAUGACAUGGUUGCAGAAGUGAGUGAGAGUGUUGCGCUAGGUGGCAAGCGCCACGUCACUGAUCUAGCAAACAGGACAUGCACAUGCAGGGCAUUUCAAGUCUCCGGGAAGCCUUGCAAACAUGCAAUUAGCUUUAUUACUGGAAUUAGGGGGGUCACAAUAGAAGACUUCGUUGAUGAUUGUUACAGCGUUGCCAAGUUUGCUGCAGCUUAUGCUCCUAUUCUUCCUGGCCUAACCGACAUGUCUCAAUGGCCAAGUGUGAACAAAGAAUUCUUCUUGAACCCCCAAUCCUUAGGAGGGCCCCUGGGAGGCCAAAGGUACAGAGGCACAAAAGUGGUGCUGAAAAUAGCAAGGGAAAGGGAAAGAAAGGCCAGCACCAAUGUCCAAUUUGCAAAGCUUAUGGACAUAGAUGGCAAAGCUGCAAAGAUGCUGCUCCUGAAGCACUAG
rnacentral:rRNA from 1 species